UCCGAUAUGGUGUAAAUGGUUAGCAUAGCUGGCUUUCACCAGCAGUUCCGGGUUCGAUUCCCGGUAUCGGAA
rnacentral:tRNA from 1 species